CAUCUAUAUUUUCAAGCGGUGAUGGAAUAAUUUUAGAAUUGACA
rnacentral:sRNA from 1 species